AACGAACGCUGGCGGCAGGCCUAACACAUGCAAGUCGAGCGCGCCCUUCGGGGUGAGCGGCGGACGGGUGAGUAACGCGUGGGAACGUGCCCUUUUCUACGGAAUAGCCUCGGGAAACUGAGAGUAAUGCCGUAUACGCCCUUUGGGGGAAAGAUUUAUCGGAAAAGGAUCGGCCCGCGUUGGAUUAGGUAGUUGGUGGGGUAAUGGCCUACCAAGCCGACGAUCCAUAGCUGGUUUGAGAGGAUGAUCAGCCACACUGGGACUGAGACACGGCCCAGACUCCUACGGGAGGCAGCAGUGGGGAAUCUUAGACAAUGGGGGCAACCCUGAUCUAGCCAUGCCGCGUGAGUGAUGAAGGCCUUAGGGUUGUAAAGCUCUUUCAGCUGGGAAGAUAAUGACGGUACCAGCAGAAGAAGCCCCGGCUAACUCCGUG
rnacentral:rRNA from 1 species